AAAUAAAUAAAUAAAGAAAGAUUGCUACACGGAGAUAGAAAUAGAGAGGCGAUGAGACCUAGAGAAAGAAAUAGAGAAAGAAGCAGAGUUAGAGACAUCUCAAGCCAGUACCACUGUCGGACUUUGACCACCAAAAUUCUUGCUUCCCUCAAUUGGCGAUGCACUGUUAUAGAACUUAGACCGCCGGAACUGCAAGCACACAGAAAGAAACCGUUAGGCCAUACAUCUGCCACCCAGAUCGUCGAAACCGGCUCCAGUAUUUUUUCUUUCCAUUUUUUAGUUUUGGAUCUAUCAUCUCUUCUCUGGCUUAUAAGACAGUUGGUAGCUAUUCAAGAAGAGCUACUUGAUUAAAUAGAAAGGGGACUUCAUAUGAAGUUGUUGAUGCUCCCAUGGUAAGCAACUCUGAACUCUGGGAACUGUGUAAAGAGAAGUAUGAAACACUAUGGCUUAAAGGGGGAAACCACUGUGAUUUGGAGCUUAGAUUGAGCACAAGAUUCUUUCUUCAAUAUCUAUGCUCAAUUUUGGUAGAAUCUUACUUUAGCCACUUAAAGUAAAGAAUUAAGAAAUCAUUUUUGUAAUUGAACAUGCAUUUGAAUAGAAAAUAAAAGUGUUCAUAUAUAAUUUCUCAACAAAAUCUCAAAAUUAGCUUUUUCUUUGUCCAUUAACAUACAGCUUAUAAUUUGGUUUAUAAAUAAUAUGUUUUGUGUAAAUUUGUGUCCUGAGGUAGCUUAAACAAAAUAUAGUUUCUUAUCAAACUUUGUGGUCUAUAUGCAUUUAUGAUUUUUUUUUUUUUAAUAGUUUCUUAUCAAGCUUCUAAGAUACAUUUACUUGGUGUAGUAUAUAAAUUUUGGGGUUGAAUGAAAUCUACAAAGGUCUAUAUUCAUUCCUCAUGAAAGGGACAUGAUAGGGAAAAAAUAAGAAGGGGAAAAAAAAUUUGGCCAAUUGUAAGGUAGCAGGAACAAAUCUCACAUCAUUCAAAUUCUUUGUUUCUCUUUUUCUCUCACUCUCUGUCUCAAAAGGGGGAUAUUUAUUCAUCUACCUUAAAAGAACAACUGAGAUAUGAAAUGAGCACAUAACUACACAAAAAGCAAUGUAGAGACACAUUGGAAUUCAGAUGAAAAAAAAAGUUAGCUGAUGUUGAAUCAGCAUCUUCAAGUGUACUUGGUUGGAUUGUUUUAGAUUUAGAUAUUUGAGUUAGAUUUGGUUUUAAUUACGGUAUUGGAUUUAAAAUAAAUUUUGUAUUGGGUAUUUGUAUUUGAUUUGGUUUUGUUUUAAAUAAUUGGGUUAAAUUA